ensembl:lncRNA
UUUUUUUUUUUUUUUUUUUUGGACAGAGUCUUGCUUUGUCGCUCAGGCUGGAGUGCAGUGGUGUGAUCUUGGCUCACUGCAACCUCUGCCUCCCGGGUUCAAGCGAUUCUCGUGCCUCAGCUUCCUGAGUAGCUAGGAUUACAGGCACCCGCCACCACGCCCGCCUAAUUUUUGUACUUUUAGUAGUGGCAGGGUUUCACCAUGUUGGCCAGGCUGGUCUCGAACUCCUGACCUCAAGUGAUCCACACAACUUGGCCUCCCAGAGGGCUAGGAUUACAGACUGAGCCACCGCCCCCGGCUGCCUUUCCUAGACAUUUGUGAAGAAGCAGGCCCUCCUUUAGUUGGAUGAGGUGCUUGGGAAGCUUUCAGUUGUUCACUACUAUGGGCUGAAAAGAGUGCCACUGAGUUUGCAGGGAGAGAGCCAUGGAAGGGGGUGGGGUAGCAGAAAAUUUUAAUGACAGCAUUUACUCAACUUUCUCCAUGUAGCCUAUCUGGAAAUCUCUUUACUCAUAGAAGUGCCAACAGUAGAACAUCUUUUCUUUUGGGCUUGAAACUGAGAAAGUUCAGUGCAGUUGAAAAUAUUUAAUUUACGAAGUUAAGAUAUUUUUAAUAUGGAAACUUUCAUUUAUAUAAAACAUGGUGCACAUCAAUUGGAUGUGCAUAAUUCAAGUAUAUAAAGGACCCCUCAAUAUGAUGCUAGUAUUGUAUAGGCACACUUGAUAUAAAAAGCACUUUUUGACUUUAUCAGUAGAAUACUUACUCUUUAAAAGUCCAGUUUUGGGGGUGAGGUUUAUUUUUCUUUUUAUUUGAACUGCUUUAUCCAUUUAUCUGUCCAGUGAAAAAUGCUCUCAGAGCAAUUCACUCUUAUCAUGAUCCAUUUAGAGUACUUUUCAUCCCAGAACUCUCAAACACAACAAAACUGGUUAAGUCAUACAUGUUGUAGAGGUAGACCUGAGUAAUCAUUUUAUUACAAUGGAGCUGCAGUUAUCUUUGAGCUGGGGCACUAAGGUCAUUUAAUAACUUAAGGUAACAGCUCUGAAAUAUUCAGUGUGAUAUUUGUAUAGGAAAAGCACAUUUCUUUGAACUAGGAUGAGAUGAAAAGAUAGGAGUUAUGAUUGCAAAAGUAGCAAAGGCUUUCAAAAAUAUCACAAGUUGUCGGUCAUUGGUUUUGGCAAUGCAACUGAAUGGCCUUUGUCUCCCAAUAGAGGGCUAGGCACACUGACUUGGAUCUAGCAUUCAGAGGUGGUUCAUCUGAGUUAGGAAAACCAAUUAAUUCCCCACGUAGGUUGAAAGUUCUUCCCAUGCUUUUAUGAGGCUGAACUAACUAAGCCCAAGCUAAAAUGUUUGGGAGCCCAUAUAAAUCAACAGUGAGCUUAUCUAGGGAGGGAGAAGAGGGAAAGUGGGUGUGAAGGGUAACAGGAUAAAUAGAAAAAAGGUUUCCUCCCAUGCUGAAAUUAAUUAUAAUAUCCCCUUGCCCUCAAGAAAAAUGUGUUUGGAGUUAAAGAGCAUCCCCAACAAAGUAAAUCUCAAAGGAUUCACUAGUAGGCAAUUAUAUAAAUAUUCUGAAUAAAUUAAAAAUCCCCAGAGGGAAAAACUAUUUUCCACUUAAUUCCAACCUAAUAAGAUUUUUGGUUUAUUUCCAAAUGAUAGAGCAGAUCAUAGACUUCUACACGUUUUGUUUUUAUAAUUAAGACAUUAAAAUAUGUUUAUUCAUUUAACUUAAACAUAACUAGCUAGGAAAAGGCCUUAAGUAUCCACUCAAAUCUAUUCUCUAUGAGACGAAUUUAAUAUACCACAGCUGAAAACACUUCAAGUUCAUCUAAAUAGGAAGUAAAAUGGAUUAUAUUAUUAUAUGGCUUUGCAAACUGAAAUUGAGGCAUAUUCUUCAUCCCAAAUUCGGAUUUCAUCUUCUUGAAAGGAAGGUUUGGCUGUGGUACUAUUUACAAAACCUUUAGUCUUCUUAAAGAUAUAUAAAUAUUCUAAAUUCUAAAAAUACCCCCUGUGGAGUUAAAAGAAAAGUAAUUGACAGACAGGAAUUCAGAGCAAUGAUCCAGCUCUGGCAAGGAAAUAGCAAGAGUGAAGCUUCAGUCAUCUUUAAUAACAUCCUAAUUCCAAGAUCUAUUUAUAAUUUUAAAGUUCAUUGAUCAUAAGCCACUGUAUUUUAUGAUCUGACAACAUUGCAUGCAGAGAUGCAGAAAACCAAUUCUGAAGGCAAAGCCAUGCAGAUUAUUCAAACACUGUGAGCUGCGUAAAACUUGGCCCACAACGUAUAUGCACAGGGGCAGAUAGUAUGAUUUUAUAAGCAUUUUUACCAUCUGCCCUAAUUAUAUCAUUUUUAUAGAUUAAAACAAACAGUAAGAAAAUACAAAACCUUUUUCUACAGCUGUGUUUACUACCUUUACCUUUUAUAAAGAAAAAAAAAUCUUAAACAGGCAACCCCAGCCUGAGAUAAGAGGUUUCCCUGCUGUGUUACACAGCACAAUCAGUUGAAGCUGCAGUGCCCACCUGGACUUGCAUCCCUCUGUGCUCCUGCAGAAGAAAAUUAAGGCAACAGAAAGGAAAAGUCAAUAGCUUUCCAAGUGAAGUGUAGCUGACAGCAAUGGAGUCACUUUUAAAAACUGUGGGCAGAAAAGAUACAUUACUUGGCAGCCAGAAGCUUAGUAAUAUUCAAUGUAUAUAGCGCAUGGGCAGUUAAGGAAAAUUUUACUUUUUCAACAUUAAGUCUUCAGUUUUAUUUUAUUUUACUGUUUCAACAUAGCAGGCUCUUGGAUGGUACAUGUAGCAAAGUAUAAUAAACAUAUACCUUAGUAUAAUUUAUUGCUGCAUCCUGAUUUAUAAUUUUGGGCAUAUAACUGCACGUGU